CUGAUGCGAAACAGAACAAGCACUAGUGCAGCACGCAUGCGAAGGGCACAGAAUGCGCUGCUCCUCCUCCACACCUACGGCUACGCCCACCGUAGCGAGAAGCUCCAACUUGCGGCAUUACCGCGCGCUGCUGCAAGUCAUGACCUACGCCAGCCAACGGGAGCAGACAGCAGAACAAGUGGUUCGCGACGCCAUGGUGGGAGGCGUGGUGGUGCCCUUCACUGUAACGCACAACGCGAAUGCACCUGCUGUGGCGAUGAAAACUGGAGACUCACCCUGCAUCACUCCCCUGGAUGCGCCCGUAAGCGCUGACAGUUCGUCACGCGAGGAGGUGGGCAUUAUCACGCUUCUGAUGCCGUCGUCAAAGUUUAUCGGGACAGCAGCGUCGCUUCUUGCCGACGGCUUCUUCAGCUUCGCGCCGCUCUCCUCCACGGUAGACAAGUCGCGAAGCACCUCUUAUCAGCAUCGCUCCGAAUGCCAGGUUCGCGACCUCUUCACCUUGAUUAUGCUUCUCUUUCCGGAUUGCUUCAUCGCCGAAACACUUCCACGCACACUUUUGGAGAUGCGGGAAGCGGAGGGGUCAGUCUCGGAGACGCAGUCGAGCAACCGCGCUGAGAGCGAGGUUCAGCACCCGAGUUCUGUUUCAAGGGUCAGCCCGCCCAUUUCGCCCACGCCGCCCAUCCUGCCGCGCGGCCGGUGCACUCCGUCGGCGCAACGCAUCCAAAUGAGCGUGACCGAGGGUCGGGGUAUUGCGGUCGAUGCAGAGUCAACGUCGAACAGCGUAGACGAUGCAACAGUUGGCGGCCUCCAGGCUGCACCGCUGGAAGGGUCGCUAGGAGUACUCACACCUGCCAAGCUCGUCACCACUGACGCGGGUGCCACUGAUGGGGAGAGGUUGGGAGUCAGCAGCGCGAGCGCCUCCAUGACGGCAAACAUGAUGCCGCUGCCGAUUGUGAGCGCGGUGCCGCUUUCGCUCGACGUGCUUGACGUGCUCCUGGAGUCUCGAAGGUCUUUGGCCGUUGUGCUGCUGUCCCUGAUAAACGACGCGCUGCGCGAAGUGCAGUACCGACAGCUUGAGCAGUCUCACACAUCGGCAACAGCGACUCGGUCGACGGCAGCUGCAAGACUCCCAUCGUGUGAGGGUGGUGUGCUGCAGUUCUCUGCGGAGGUACUCCUGACAGCGAAGCUGCUGCUCAUGUCCGUGAUCUCGGCGUCUGCAGUCUGGCGACAAAGAUUCUCCAAGACAAUGGAAAGCACUAAAGCGGUGCUUCAGGGAGCUGCGCUUCUGCCGUCGCCUCCGCCAUCUCCGUUUCACGUUUUUAGUGAGCUGCUGGGCGAGGAUGCCGAAGGCGCGACGCCGUUUUUAACCCUGCCGGUUGAACGGUGGAGCUGGGGCAAGGAGAAGGACGCACUUGGGCAGUGGUAUGACCGGCUUCUUGAUCGACUCCUGGCGGCCACAGACGGCGCCGGUGUGCGAGUAGAUGCGUACUUGAAGAGCGCGAAGUCGACCGCAGUAAGUUGCGGGCGCAGCGUCUCGGCUUUUCCUGCUCUUCUCCUGCACCGGCCGUCCGACGGGCAACCGGCGGUGGAGAUGAGUCUUGCUUCUGUAGCGCGAUUGAGUGGCUCUGUGCGGCUUCCCUCGCUACCUAUUCAACAGGGUGAGCUGCACUUGCUACUUUGCCCGGGGGUGCCGGAAGGCAAGACUGGUCUGCUGCAGGCUCGCGGGCACGAGCUUCUGUUGGAUGCAACGGCGUCGCCUACUGCGGACUUUUUUCAGGCAUGCGUGUCCUCGGCGUUCACUGAGGCGCAACUGCAGCCGUCCGGUGAUGCGGUGCCGCGGCUGUUUCGUCAGCGAUUCACAGAUCUCUCGUCAACUGAGCAGGGCAUCGUUACCGCUGCAUUGUGUGAUCCUGCGACGUUAUCGGUAGUGUUGGAGAAGAAUGCCGCUAUGCUAGCGCGGCUCACGUUGUGGUGCCGCAACCGUUGGCCGCCGUCAUUAGACGCCUCGACUAUGCUGGCGAGUACAACGAGCCAGUCGGAUGACGUAGUCAAGGAGAAUGAAGGCCCCAAAGCGGCGCACUCGAUCGGUGAUCAGGUGGAGCAGCACAUCCUUUUUCAGCGUCCGUUCAGUGCCGCAGUGGGGCGGUAUGUACGUGAGCUGGUGACUUUGAGGGGGCUGAGCAAGGAUGUGCUCGAGGCGUGGAUGCGGCACGUAUGCACUGGUGCUGAUGCUGCGACUGGUGCUGCCGUCGACGGCAGUAUUCCGUCUCCGCAUCGUGCCAUGUUCUCAGCUUUGGUGAAGUUUGCGGUGCUGCAUAAUCGGUGGCGGCUCAAUCCAGAGGUGGAGGCGCUGCAGAAAGAGUAUGCCAUGUAGCCGGAAAGUGAAGUUUGGGCGCGUUGGUCGACAAAAACGAAUCGCGGAGGCGGCGUCGCAGCUUCUCCUCUCGUCCGACGCAGCGCUACCGCACACGAGCAUCCAGCAUGCCGACAACGUCCCUUUCUUCCAAUGUUUUUGUGUGAAAAAGGGAGGAGGGGCUUCUCGUGGCAAACCGUUUCGGAAUAUCUGCCCUCCGAUCCGUCUUCAAGCGCCUCUCAAGAGCACCCAUAAAACCCACGUUCACCAUCGACCUGGUGCGCUUCUCUCUCGCCGUAAUGAGGCGCCUUCUUUUUUUUUGUGUGUGUGUGUGCCCGGCCGGCGGGCUUGUGCUCGAGUGGAAUGACACGCCGGACUUGUCUGUCGAGGUUCAUACGCACGCAUACAUAUAUAUAUAUAUCAUGGGCCGCAACGCACAUGCGCAGACUCUCGCAAAAGACGAUUCAAAGCAGCUCUCUUUAUACAUACAUAUGUAGAGUUUUUUGUUGUUGAUGGGUGCCGGUGCGCUCCUACGUGAGAGGAAGAGGGCGGACGCAUACGCAUGUGUAUAGGUUGUUUCCUGCUUUCGAGGGUGGUGAAUUUGUGCGCGUAAGCUUGGCUGCUUAAUCCUUCUACAUGCUUCUUACUGAUGGCUCCCCUCAGGUCGGUUUCUCUCUUUGUGUGCGCGUGUGGAUGCGUACGCUGCGCUGCAGGACAUCGCCGCACCUCGGCGGUGAGUGUGUUGGUGUGUGUGUGUGCGUGCUGUCGCUAGAUUGUUGAGAUAUAUAUAUAUAUAUAUGUGUGAUGUGCUUGUGUGUGCGCUCGGUUCCCUUCUCUCCCGUUCCUACAGCGUCUUUUUUUCUUCCAGCUUCAUGUGCCGCCGGCGUCUUCUUACUUCGAUGAGCGUCUGGACCAUUCGGCCACCCAUCGACGUUCGCUCCUCGUGCCACACCACACAUGCCACCGCUUACUUGUGUGUGCUUUGUUUUUCCAUCUUUGGUCUCGCUGUGUGGAAUAACUUUUUCGAUCUUUUGUUUCGUUUGCUGUGGUGGUGGUCCCGUAUGCUGCUCCACGAUGAGCGCGCACGUCAGCAGCGAAAGGAAACGAAGAAAAAGAAAACCGAAAACACAGUAACGACUACUUUCCGACCUUGCCAAUUGCCUGUCCUCUGAUGCGCUUGCAUCUUUCCAGGCGCGGGUAGGCUUUGUGCACACACACACACACAGACAGACACACAGACACAUCCGCCAGGCAGAUCUACCAGCUUCAGAAGUUCCCCCAUCAACAUCCUACUUAUGUCACGUUUAACGUCCACAAGACACGUGCAACUCGCGUGUCGCAGGCUAGGACACUUUCAGAAAUUACUGCGAUACGUAAAAUACACCAUGAUGCG
rnacentral:misc_RNA from 1 species